rnacentral:lncRNA from 1 species
GUCCGUGAUCUACCAUUAUAGUUUGUGGAAUUCCAAACCUAUAAAUAAUGUGAUCACGAAUAAACUCUAUAACAUUCUUCUGGGUGAUCUCUUUUAAAGGUACUGCUUCUACCCAUUUAGUGAAAUAGUCGGUUGCAACUAUAACAAAAGUAUGUUGAUUGGACGAUGGAGGGUAGAUCUUCCCUAUUAGAUCUAUCGCCCAACCUUUGAACGGCCAAGGUUUAAUAAUAGGUGCCAUCUCUCGCGCUGGCGCCCUUUGUAUUGGACCAUGCUUUUGGCAUGCUAAACAACUUUUUGCGUACUGAACGCAUAGUUCUACCAUCUUUGGCCAAAAGUAUCCACUCCUAAUAAUUAACCAUCUCAUCCUUUGGCCAGCUUGAUAAGCUCCACAUAUCCCUUCGUGCACUUCAGCCAUGAUCGUCUUGGCUUCUUGCAAACUUACACACUUUAGUAAUACACCAUCAGGGCGUUUCUUAAAUAACUCUUCGUCUAUUAGUAUGUAAUUCAGCGAACAUAACUUUGUUUUCCUACUAAUUCUUCCAUUAGGUUCUUGAAGGAACCCUUUAAUCUCUGUUCGCCAAUCCACUGCAUCUCCAUCUUGUAUACAGUGAAGUUCAAUUUUUCUCGCCCUUCUUUGAGUUACGGGCAAUAUGAUUCCGUAUUCACAAGUAGACUUCCAAUCCAAGAUUUUAGAGUACCCUGAAGCCAUUUGGGCCAACUCAUUCGCCACGUCGUUAUAUAUCCU